rfam:Felis catus isolate Cinnamon breed Abyssinian chromosome A1, whole genome shotgun sequence.
GCCUGGGUGGCUCAGUUGGUUGAGCAUCUGCCUUCAGCUCAGGUCAUGAUCUCACUGUCCGUGAGUUCAGGCCCCACCUCAGGCU